GCCGACGUAGCUCAAUUGGCAGAGCAGCGGUUUUGUAAACCGCCGGUUAUGGGUUCGAGUCCCUUCGUCGGCU
rnacentral:tRNA from 1 species